GAUGAACGCUGGCGGCGUGCCUAAUACAUGCAAGUCGAGCGAACAGACGCGGUGCUUGCUCCUCUGAUGUUAACGGCGGACGGGUGAGUAACAUAUCGAGAACCUAACUAUAAGACUAGGAUAACUUCCGGAAACCAGAGCUAAAACCGGAUAACAUGUUGAAGCGCAUGGUUCAACAGUGAAAGCCGGUCUUGCUGUCACUUAUAGCUAGCUCCGCGCCGCAUUGGCUAGUUGGUAAGGUAACGGCUUCCCAAGGCAACGAUGGGUAGCCGACCUGACAGGGUGAUCGGCCACACUGGGACUGAGCGACGGUACAGACUCCGAGGGGCGGCAGAGGUAGGGAAGCUUCGGAAAAGUGGGAAAGCCUGAAGGAGGAACGCCGGGUGAGUGAAGAAGGGCUUCGGAUCGGAAAACGCUGUUAUUAUGGAAGAACAAAUGUGUAAGUAACUAUGCACGUCUUGACGGUACCUACAGAGAAAGCAACGGCUAACUACGUG
rnacentral:rRNA from 1 species